rnacentral:rRNA from 1 species
GAUGAACGCUAGCGGCAGGCUUAACACAUGCAAGUCGAGGGGCAUCGCGGGGUAGCAAUACCCUGGCGGCGACCGGCGAAAGGGUGCGUAACGCGUAGGCAACCUGCCCCUUGCAGAGGGAUAGCCUCGGGAAACCGGGAUUAAAACCUCAUUAAUACUGAACUAUCACAUGUUAGCUCAGUCAAAGAUUUAUCGGCAAGGGAUGGGCCUGCGUACUGAUUAGCUGGUUGGUGGGGUAACGGCCUACCAAGGCAAUGAUCAGUAGCCGACCUGAGAGGGUGAUCGGCCACAUUGGAACUGAGACACGGUCCAAACUCC